rnacentral:rRNA from 1 species
ACGGAAGGCAGCAGUGGGGAAUAUUGCACAAUGGGCGCAAGCCUGAUGCAGCGAUGCCGCGUGAGGGAAGAAGGUUUUCGGAUUGUAAACCUCUGUCAACAGGGACGAAAAUGACGGUACCUGUGAAGGAAGCUCCGGCUAACUACGUGCCAGCAGCCGCGGUAAUACGUAGGGAGCAAGCGUUAUCCGGAAUUACUGGGUGUAAAGGGAGUGUAGGCGGGACUGUAAGUCAGAUGUGAAAUAUGCCGGCUCAACUGGCAGACUGCAUUUGAAACUGCGGUUCUUGAGUGAAGUAGAGGUAAGCGGAAUUCCUAGUGUAGCGGUGAAAUGCGUAGAUAUUAGGAGGAACAUCAGUGGCGAAGGCGGCUUACUGGGCUUUAACUGACGCUGAGGCUCGAAAGCGUGGGGAGCAAACAGGAUUAGAUACCCUGGUA